CCUACGGGUGGCUGCAGUGAGGAAUAUUGGUCAAUGGACGAGAGUCUGAACCAGCCAAGUAGCGUGAAGGAUGACUGCCCUAUGGGUUGUAAACUUCUUUUAUAUGGGAAUAAAAUGUUCCACGUGUGGGAUUUUGUAUGUACCAUAUGAAUAAGGAUCGGCUAACUCCGUGCCAGCAGCCGCGGUAAUACGGAGGAGCCGAGCGUUAUCCGGAUUUAUUGGGUUUAAGGGGAUCGUAGGUGGAUUGUUAAGUCAGUUGUGAAAGUUUGCGGCUCAACCGUAAAAUUGCAGUUGAAACUGGCAGUCUUGAGUACAGUAGAGGUGGGCGGAAUUCGUGGUGUAGCGGUGAAAUGCUUAGAUAUCACGAAGAACUCCGAUUGCGAAGGCAGUUCACUGGACUGCAACUGACACUGAGGCUCGAAAGUGUGGGUAUCAAACAGGAUUAGAUACCCCAGUAGUC
rnacentral:rRNA from 1 species